CCUUUGAUGGCCGAGGAUAUUAGGCAUUAAGCUUUUAACUUAACUACAGUUCUAGACUUCAAAGGC
rnacentral:tRNA from 1 species